UAUGUACUUCUUCUGUCCGAAAAAGCUUGUCCCAAGCUUGUUCCUCAAAUGGAUGUAUCUAGCACUAACUUGGUGCUAGAUACAUCCAUUUAAGGGACAAACUUUUCCAGACGGAGGGAGUAUACC
rfam:Triticum aestivum genome assembly, contig: Triticum_aestivum_CS42_TGACv1_scaffold_343550_4DL